UACGGAAGGCAGCAGUGGGGAAUAUUGCACAAUGGGCGCAAGCCUGAUGCAGCCAUGCCGCGUGUAUGAAGAAGGCCUUCGGGUUGUAAAGUACUUUCAGUCGUGAGGAAGGUGUUAAGGUUAAUAACCUUAGCAUUGACGUUAGCGACAGAAGAAGCACCGGCUAACUCCGUGCCAGCAGCCGCGGUAAUACGGAGGGUGCGAGCGUUAAUCGGAAUUACUGGGCGUAAAGGGCACGCAGGCGGUUAAUUAAGUUGGAUGUGAAAUCCCCGGGCUUAAACCUGGGAAUGGCAUUCAAGACUGGUUAGCUAGAGUCUUGUAGAGGGGGUAGAAUUCCAUGUGUAGCGGUGAAAUGCGUAGAGAUGUGGAGGAAAUACCGGUGGCGAAGGCGGCCCCUGGACAAAAGACUGACGCUCAUGUGCGAAAGCGUGGGGAGCAAAACAGGAUUAGAUAACC
rnacentral:rRNA from 1 species